GAUGCCCCAUGUUGGUGACUGAGAUGGAUCUGAGAGGCCCAUAUCAUUCUUGGCGUAGAUCCGGAAAAGGCAAUCUCUGAGCAGCAGCCGGCUGUGACUGGGCUCCCUCACGAUUUUAACUCCUCCGCCGUCUUUGAGCUCAGUGCCUUCCUUAAACCAACUGACCACCAAAGACUCCUGAGGAGGAAAGGGCACCUUAAAAGCGGCGUUCUGGCCCACUCUUACAAUCACAGGUUUGGAGAACUUGUGAAGAUCGUCUGGGUCAAAUUCAGGUACCGUCGCAGUCCAUGCUCAUCUUCACCGCUAAUUCAGCUGGAUUUCCACGAAGAGCAUAAAUAUCAGAGAGUCCACAGAUGGUGGACUCAGCGGGCUCGGAAAUCCCCAUGUCAUUCUUAGUGUAGACCCGGAACUUAUACUCCCUUCCCGGCAUGAUGUUGAUGACCGUGAACUUGUUAUUGAAGAGACGGUCUGCCACAGUCUGCCAAUUACGCUUAACAGAAUCAUGCUUGGUGAUCAUGUAGUGCAGCCUGUCGUCUUUCGUCUCAUCUGGAGAGGGAGUCCAGGAGAUCGUCACGGUUCCCGACACGUUCUCCUCCAGCUCCACGGGGCCUGGGGGCUUGGGGUCAUCUACAGAUGACACCUUUCGAGGCGUGAUGAAGACCACAUCAUACAUGCAACUCACCCAACGUGGAGACAUGCACUUACAGAAGGUGAGUCCUUUGUGUAAUUUAAUUUCUUUAUUGCUCGCAUACCUUUGUCGUCUGGUUGAACUCUUCCGAAUCGUCGACUAAACACGCAACGUGUCAGCAGGAGAGGGAACAGGACAGGUAAAUAUUAAUCCUGACAGAAGCACCAUGGCAGGUUGGAACUUUGACAGGAUUAUGGAAACAAUUAACAUGAAACACCACAGUAUACAGUAUAACCCAGGAAUGGGAAGCACAAAAACAGACACAACUUAGGCAGAACAAAUAUCACAACAAAGAAUGGUUAGUCAUAGACAAAAUAUAAUACAGUAUGUUAGCAAUAUGUUAUUAAAGCAGCAUGUAAAUAGUUGUGCUGUGCAACUGCUGAUUAGACUUAACUCGCUCAGGCAUUUUCUUAUUGCUGGCAUCUCAGGAU